GCCCACCUGCUCUAUGGAGGGAAUCCCCCUCCUAUUAUUUGUUUUGCCUGUUGAUUCAACCAUGCUGCUCCUCUGGUGGACAGAUUCAGCUUCAGCGAACAUUAUGGAGAAUCUUCUGUUACGUGGCAGGCCAUUUCACAUAAAUCUCUGCUUCUCAUAGGUGCUUCUUAAAGCCAUUCUAGCACAGAAGAGGACCAUUUCAUUAAGCCGAAGGAGGCGUUUGUUGGCUACUUUUGCAACAGGAGAUCCUGUUCGAGUGCACACUGAGCCAGCAGGUUCACCAGAAAGCUAUUGAGCACUUGCUGGAACACAUUAUGCAGGGUGAAUUUCUUCUGGAAUGUUGCCAAGGUUUUUUUUAUGCUUCUGUGGUAGGCAUUUCUUGAACAUUGUCAUUUAGCCAAGCAAAGAACAUUUGCUUAAAGGAUAGAAAAAUGUUUAAAAAUUAUUGUUUGUUUAAAAGCAGGUUAAAUAGCAAUAUGAUCUUAGGGAAGGGCAGAGAAAAGUGCUUAUUUCUUCAAGUGAUCUGAUUUGUUAUUUAAAAUUUUUUUGCUUUAAACAGAUCCAUAGCUUUUCCUAAAAUAAUUUUAUAUUAAUUUUGUCCUUUAGAAAGUAUCUUCCUGUGCCUACUUUUCUUUGAUGUGAUUGGCUGUUUUUCAAAGCUGAAUUUUCAUGUAAGAGAUUUCUCACAUGUUUGUUUUUACAGCAGCUACUAGUAGUAAUAGCUAAGAAACUUUGGAGGUGCAGAGAACAUGCUAAAAUAGAAUUUCUUUUUUCAUUUUCAAUUCCAGAGCUGUGCCAUAAAAAAUAAAAAAGGAAAACAUGAAAAUAUCUUUAAAGCAGAUAAUAUUUUUAAAAGUGCUGCAAAUUUGAUUAUAAAUUCCAAGUUCAAAUUUUGACACAUAAAAAAUACACAAAAUACAUAAAGUCUCCCCAGAAAUUAUUCUCUAAUGAAUAGUAAAAUCUGAUCCUAAACCACCUCACUUUAACAAUGUUUCCCUUUGUACUAAGUUCUCACCAUAAUCUCAUAAUCUCAUUCUCUGUAAUACCAGUGAUAUAAAAAGGCUCUCUCUGAAUGUGUCAAGGAAAAAAUCCUAAUUAUAAGAAUUAGGCAGCUCUGCCAUUCACCAGCUGUGUGAUUUGGGGGAAGUUGCUCAACUUCUCUGAGCUUCCGUGUCCUCAUUUGUAAAAUAGUAAUAAUACUUAACUCCCUGGGCUGCUGUGAGGACUAGACACGUCUGUAAGGAAUCUCAACAGUGCCUCGCACAUUAUAAAGGCUUAAAAAAAACAUUUUAGUUCUGGGCGGCUGGUUGCCUCAGUUGGUUAGAGCACAGUGCUCGUAACACCAAGGUCACC